rnacentral:rRNA from 1 species
UACAGAGGGUGCGAGCGUUGUUCGGAAUUACUGGGCGUAAAGCGUGCGUAGACGGUCAUGUAAGUCGGGUGUGAAAGCCCCGGGCUCAACCUGGGAAUUGCAUUCGAGACUGCAUGGCUAGGAUGCGGAAGAGGGAAGCGGAAUUUCCGGUGUAGCGGUGAAAUGCGUAGAUAUCGGAAGGAACACCAGUGGCGAAAGCGGCUUCCUGGUCCAGCAUCGACGUUCAGGCACGAAAGCGUGGGGAGCAAACAGG